rnacentral:rRNA from 1 species
GGUGAACGCUGGCGGCGUGCUUAAGACAUGCAAGUCGAACGGGCUCUUCGGAGCCAGUGGCGCACGGGUGAGUAACGCGUCACUGACCUACCCCAAAGUCGCGGAUAACGAUUCGAAAGAAUCGCUAAUACGUGAUGUGCUGUCAGAUCCUGUUCUGCCAGUAAAGAUUUAUUGCUUUGGGAUGGGGUUGCGUUCCAUCAGCUAGUUGGUGGGGUAAAGGCCCACUAAGGCGACGACGGAUCGCCGGCCUGAGAGGGUGGCCGGCCACAGGGGCACUGAGACACGGGUCCCACUCCUACGGGAGGCAGCAGUUAGGAAUCUGCCACAAUGGGCGAAAGCCUGAUGGAGCGACGCCGCGUGAGGGAUGAAGGUCUUCGGAUCGUAAACCUCUGAAUCAGGGACGAAAGACGCGAAAGCGGGAUGACGGUACCUGAGUAAUAGCACCGGCUAACUCCGUG